AUCUGUACGCCCGCACAUUUAUAAUACCUUACCUAUACCUAUUAUUAAUGUAUAUUAUACAUAAUAUGAUUCAAAAUUUACGAUGUUUUUACAAUUACACGUUGCAUUUAUCUCUAACCUGCCCAACUGGCUGAACAUUGCUCCAUAGCUGUGGAUUGUAAACUGAAAUAGUGGUUUCGGUGACUGCUAAGCCUGAAGAAAUCAAGUAAAAAUCGUCCAUCGAAUAUAGAAAACCAGGAUACGAACUGAAUGUUAUGUCGUGUCCUAACACUAAUUGGUACGACGAUUUACUUUCCUUGUAAUUAAGACGAUAUCGCUUUUGUAUCCUCAACAUUGUUUCGUACCGAUUCCCGGUCACGUGAGAGAAGAACAAUUCUUUGGAUUCAGGUAGUAAUUUUAUAAGAACUGAACACGAUCCAGCACCAAAUGGUUUUUUACGAGGGUGCGAAGAAUUAAAGGCGUCGCAUAAAUUAAAUAAAUCUUCUUGAACGUUCAUCCAA